rnacentral:rRNA from 1 species
CGUAGGGUGCGAGCGUUAAUCGGAAUUACUGGGCGUAAAGCGUGCGCAGGCGGUUUUGUAAGACAGGCGUGAAAUCCCCGGGCUCAACCUGGGAACUGCGCUUGUGACUGCAAGGCUAGAGUACGGCAGAGGGGGGUGGAAUUCCGCGUGUAGCAGUGAAAUGCGUAGAGAUGUGGAGGAACACCAAUGGCGAAGGCAGCCCCCUGGGUCGAUACUGACGCUCAUGCACGAAAGCGUGGGUAGCAAACAGGAUUAGAUACCCUGGUAGUCCACGCCCUAAACGAUGUCAACUAGGUGUUGGGUGGGUAAAACCAUUUAGUACCGGAGCUAACGCGUGAAGUUGACCGCCUGGGGAUACGGCCGCAAGGUUA